ACGAACGCUGGCGGCGUGCCUAAUACAUGCAAGUCGAGCGGAGUUUGAAAGAAGCUUGCUUCUUUCAAACUUAGCGGCGGACGGGUGAGUAACACGUAGGCAACCUGCCUGUAAGAUCGGGAUAACUACCGGAAACGGUAGCUAAGACCGGAUAACUGGUUUCUCCGCAUGGAGGGAUCAUGAAACACGGAGCAAUCUGUGGCUUACAGAUGGGCCUGCGGCGCAUUAGCUAGUAGGUGAGGUAACGGCUCACCUAGGCGACGAUGCGUAGCCGACCUGAGAGGGUGAACGGCCACACUGGGACUGAGACACGGCCCAGACUCCUACGGGAGGCAGCAGUAGGGAAUCUUCCGCAAUGGACGCAAGUCUGACGGAGCAACGCCGCGUGAGUGAUGAAGGUUUUCGGAUCGUAAAGCUCUGUUGCCCUAGACGAACGAGUAAGAGAGUAACUGCUCUUACUGGACGGAUA
rnacentral:rRNA from 1 species